AAGAACAGUCAUUUGAUUUUUAUGCGCACGUCAAUUUAUUACAUAAAGUAACUGAUUUCUUAGUUAUUUAAUAUAUAAUUAUUAUUUUAUUAUUAUUUCAUAAUAUGCAUAAAAACAUAAAAUAAGUAAUGAAUAUAAAUAUUUAUUAUGCACAAGACACGGAUCUUAACAUAAGUAUGUAUCUCUUUAAUAAUUUUAAAUCUUAAACAUUUUCUAAAUCUUAGGCCAAAAUAAAAUAAAAAAAUGAAAAUAAACUCAAAAAUCAAUAUUUAUAUUGAGAAAUAACAAAAAUAAACCACGCUCACCGCAAGUAAUUUGUUUUUCCAUCUAUAUUCAUGAUGAUAAAUAAAUUUAAGAUUUCAUCAAAAAAAUAACCCAAAAAAAAAGCACACAAAAAUGAAAAAAAUAUUGAAGAUAGAUAGGAUUGACACGUGAACAUAAACUUCUCAUCACCAUAAUUUAACCUUUAAAUUGCUAAAUCAUGAUAUAAAACUGAAUUGACAUAGUUUCAUUGUAACCAAAUAGUAGGCCUGAGAUUCUUCGGCCUAAACGUUAGGUUCUUAUGUGAUAAGUGAUUUUUUGGCCUAAAAUAUUUUUAAAAAUGAGAUUAGCUCAUCAGUAAACAAAUUAUGUAAUUAACAAAAAAAAUUUUAAAAAUUGUUUAAGGGCCAAAAAUAUUAAUUCGAUCAAGAAUAUAAAUUUUAUUUUUCAUACAUAUUUAUUAAAUAAUUUUCAUAUAAAUUCACUAUGCGCUUGGCCGCAAGUAGGCUCGUAUGUUCUGAUGGCCACACACGAAUGAUCGAGACAGGAUGGUCAGGAAGGGGAGAAAGGCCACAACUGACAAAUUUUGAACUCUUGUCAGCGAUAUGGAAUAAAAUUGAGAAAAUAUAUAGUACACACAAGUUAUGAGGCAGUAAGGCAACUAGGAACAAUAAUGCACAACACAACACCCCAAUUAUGCUAUCGAAGGAAUCAUAUCAGGUAUUAUAAUAUAACUCAUUAGAUCGAAUAAAACUAUUCAGUUUUGUAAAUUUUUCGCCAACUGACAAGUGAAACUUAUUUAAACUUGUGCCCAUACUUCACACAAUUGAAUGAAAAAUGUAUAGAAGAUGGUCAUGCCACACCCAAUCAGCUGUUCAGGUCGGUUCACAUAUUGAAAAAGAUUAGGUCUUGUCGAGCAGCUGGCCAAUAUAACUAAGGAAAAUAUGUUUUUUUGGUCACGAGGGAAGUAUGUAUAAAAUCAAGAGAGUACACUAGUUUAAGACUCUUUCAAUGAAUUGCUUCUUGUAUGUGGGUGAGUUAAAUCAAAA
rnacentral:lncRNA from 1 species